AGCGAACGCUGGCGGUAUGCCUAACACAUGCAAGUCGAACGGCAGCACAGUAAGAGCUUGCUCUUACGGGUGGCGAGUGGCGGACGGGUGAGGAAUACAUCGGAAUCUACUUUUUCGUGGGGGAUAACGAAGCGAAACCUACGCUAAUAUCGCAUACGACCUACGGUUGAAAGCAGGGGAUCUUCUGACCUUGCGCGAUUGAAUGAGCCGAUGUCGGAUUAGCUAGUUGGCGGGGUAAAGGCCCACCAAGGCGACGAUCCGUAGCUGGUCUGAGAGGAUGAUCAGCCACACUGGAACUGAGACACGGUCCAGACUCCUACGGGAGGCAGCAGUGGGGAAUAUUGGACAAUGGGCGCAAGCCUGAUCCAGCCAUACCGCGUGGGUGAAGAAGGCCUUCGGGUUGUAAAGCCCUUUUGUUGGGAAAGAAAAGCAGCAGGUUAAUACCCCGCUGUUCUGACGGUACCCAAAGAAUAAGCAUCGGCUAACUUCGUG
rnacentral:rRNA from 1 species